AUUUAUUGGGCGUAAAGAGCUCGUAGGCGGUUCAACAAGUCGGGUGUUAAACCCCCAGGCUCAACCUGGGGCCGCCACCCGAAACUGUUGUGACUAGAGUUUGGUAGGGGACCACGGAAUUCCUGGUGUAGCGGUGGAAUGCGCAGAUAUCAGGAGGAACACCAGCAGCGAAGGCGGUGAUCUGGGCCAAUACUGACGCUGAGGAGCGAAAGCGUGGGGAGCGAACAGGAUUAGAUACCCUGGUAGUCCACGCCGUAAACGGUGGGCACUAGGUGUGGGGACUUUUCAACGGUUUCCGCGCCGCAGCUAACGCAUUAAGUGCCCCGCCUGGGGAGCACGGUCGCAAGACUAAAACUCAAAGAAAUUGACGGGGGCCCGCACAAGCAGCGGAGCAUGUGGCCUAAUUCGAUGCAACGCAAAAAACCUUACCUAGAUUUGACAUGCUGGGAAAGGCCACAGAGAUGUGGUGUCCUUCGGGGCUCAGCACAGGUGGUGCAUGGCUGUCGUCAGCUCGUGUCGUGAGAUGUUGGGUUAAGUCCCGCAACGAGCGCAACCCUUGUUCUAUGUUGCCAGCACGUAAUGGUGGGGACUCGUAGAAGACUGCCGGGGUCAACUCGGAGGAAGGCGGGGACGACGUCAAGUCAUCAUGCCCCUUACGUCUAGGGCUGCACACAUGCUACAAUGGGCGGUACAGAGGGCUGCUAAACCGCGAGGUGGAGCCAAUCCCUAAAACCGCCCUCAGUUCAGAUUGCAGGCUGCAACUCGCCUGCAUGAAGUUGGAGUUGCUAGUAAUCCCGGAUCAGCA
rnacentral:rRNA from 1 species